GCGGUGGAUGAUGUGGAUUAAUUCGAUGCAACGCGAAAAAACCUUACCUACCCUUGACAUGUCAAGAAUCCUGGAGAGAUCUGGGAGUGCUCGCAAGAGAACCUGAACACAGGUGCUGCAUGGCUGUCGUCAGCUCGUGUCGUGAGAUGUUGGGUUAAGUCCCGCAACGAGCGCAACCCUUGUCAUUAAUUGCCAUCAUUCAGUUGGGCACUUUAAUGAGACUGCCGGUGACAAACCGGAGGAAGGUGGGGAUGACGUCAAGUCCUCAUGGCCCUUAUGGGUAGGGCUUCACACGUCAUACAAUGGUCGGUUCAGAGGGUUGCCAACCCGCGAGGGGGAGCCAAUCUCAGAAAGCCGAUCGUAGUCCGGAUCGCAGUCUGCAACUCGACUGCGUGAAGUCGGAAUCGCUAGUAAUCGCGGAUCAGCA
rnacentral:rRNA from 1 species